UCCACCGAGCGCACUUGACACGCUCUCCGACGACUACCUUCAGAGUCUUUGUCCCUGAAGACGGACAGACGGAGCCGACGGAGGUUGGAGACGGGCUGAGCAGGAAAUUUCCUAUCCGACUCACCGACCGAACCCAGAACGCGGCCAAAGCGCCAACAGACUCUACAGAGCCACGACCAAGGCCGGACGACUUCCAGCGGGGCUUCUUAUAAAGUCGUUGCACAGAUAUUGGCUCGAUUGCCUCUGCUCUGCAGCCUGGUUGUUGCCCCGAGACCGAGCGCGUCUGGACUGUGCCCUGAGCUGAUUGUGAGACCUGAGCGCAUCCGACAAGCUCGGGUCAAUUAACACAUUAGGCUUUUGCUGUGAUCCCUCAAGUUUUACAGCCAGACGUUUACAAGAUGAGUAGACGAGAGGUGAGCGAAGAGCCAAGGCCGGGCCCCAGCCAUCAGCCCGAAGCCAAAGAGUCCAAAGGGCUACCCCUUUAUCCAUUAGGGGCUUCAAAGCAGGCACGAUAUCAUGGCCAUCAGUGCCUUGCCACCACCAGCCGCCUUCUGGCUCCAGCAGCAACUACCACCAGGAAAACUGUCGGAGUGGGUGGCCAAGGCGUCGGUCAAGUUGCUGAAGUCCAGUUCUAGCCUUCAGAGCUCGCGACCUGACCCUGCAGCACAGCCUCCAAAACAGACGCAACUGUACCCGCUUGGCGUGUCGAAGCAACAGAAGUUCCAUGGCCCGCAGUGCCAUGCCACUCACGAGAAGCCCUCAACGAGCCGCGUCCCAGCUCCGUCGGCUGCUAGGCCAAACCUUCAAGGGGGUGGUCGAGGCAGCAAGCAUGUUGCCCCUGAAGAAACGAAGAAAUUCAGGUCAAGACACGAGUUAAGGCUAACGUAGUGAAUCAUGACACCGAUGCAAAUCAAGGACCUGAUGAUGAGGCAAAUGCCUACGAAACCUCAUUCUUGGAUUUGUCAGACGAGAAAGCGGAGUCCCGUCAGUCCCAGGGCUGCACCUUAUGAGUACAGUGAAGAGCUUGAAACCAAGUUCGUGCCGGGCACCAUGAACGAAAUCUUGAAUCUGGACCUGAGCAAAGUUACAAAAAGUGAUUUGAUCCAGUCCCUCAUCUUCAACAAAGAAAUCGUGCAACUCGACAUGGAGUGGAUUGUCCUCGCGAUCUGUAUGAUCUACAAACUGGCUUCCAAGGGCCUGUCGCUGUUCAGCAGACAAUUCACAAUUGUGUCAGCAUUGCCUUCGGCCAGCCGUUCAUAGAAUCAUCUGUGGCCACUCUGCCCUCUGCAUCAGUUGUGGUGGAAGAGGAGACGCCUGCAUUCAGUGCUUGACAACGCCGACCACUAGGCAGGAGAAGUUAGAAAUGGUAUACACGGAGAAGAAGAGGAAGAUUUUCUGUCUGGCAGCUGGAAAAGGUCUUGUGGUUGCUCAGAGAUUUAUGACCCGAUCCGAAGACGACGCUAAGGCUGUCAGCAUAAUGGAAAAGAUUCAAACAGGCAGCAUGUCGGAAGAGUCUUGGCGAGUGAACGUUCAUGAUGUCCUGAACAAAAGGUUCGAUCAACAGGGGCUGCUUGAAACCUUCGAGCUCAACCAAAUCUUCGAGACUGUCCAUGAUGAGUUUGAAGAGCCACUCCGUCGUGUUCUGCUGUGCUGCUUAGUUGCCCGAACCGAACUUCUCUGCCAAGCCUGCGGCGUGAAGAAAAGGACAAAGUUGCAUGAUUGCCAGCACGACAGCGGCUGCUAUGACUGCAUGAAGGCCAACCAGGAGAACUGUUUAGUGAUGGGCUGUGGUGGAAACCUGUCAGGAGGGCACACGGUUUCGAAACAUAAGAUUGCUUAAGGGGCCGGUUUUUCAGCUCUCCUCACAUACCAAAAACACGUCUCCGUAAUAAGUUUGUUUUUCGAUUUUACUGCAUGCUGGCCAACGGCAACAAGUGCUUGGUGACAAACUGCGAAGGAAAUCUCUCUGGUGGCCACACUGUUGCUAAACACAAGAUUGCCUGAAGUUCUGCUACCUUAAAUUUAUGUCUUUAUUGCUCUUGAAUAUAUAUAUUGUAUGGAAUUGAUAACAAAACUUGUAAUGAAUUUUUUUACCACCAAGACUUUCUUUUCGUCCCAAAUAUUGUCAAUGGUGCCGAGCCAGAUAUAUUUCUCAUGCCACUGACUUGAAGUCAUUCUGAUUUUAAUGUGUAAUUUAACCCUCGUCGCCCUCGUCUAUAAUCUCGACUCGUUUAUGAAACUUUUGUAUUUUCUGGUGCUCUGUGAGUGCUUUGAGGAAAUAAUUUUAUAAUCGGCUUUACACUAUAAUAAUUCUUUUAACUAAACACUGUUUGUAACUCCACUUAAUUUUUACCAAAUUGAUAAUAUAAAUUGAUAAUGUGUGUUUUUUUAAAUGGAAUUAGGAGAUUUUUUAAGAUUUUUCGUAUGAUUAAUGAAGCCACGGACGACCCUUCACUUGUGCUCCGAAAAUAAUAUACUUCUCCUCUAAGGACAAGGAUCUUUAUUAUUUAAGAGUGAGAGUCAAGUUAACUAAAUUAUGAUAUUGAAAUUUGAAUAGAAUAUUGUUGUUUCAAAUUUAUGUGAAUAAUCCUGAAAUUUUUAUGAAAUAUUUAAAUGCACUGCUGAUGUUCACCGGGAA